GACGAACGCUGGCGGCGUGCUUAACACAUGCAAGUCGAGCGGUAAGGCCCUUUCGGGGGUACACGAGCGGCGAACGGGUGAGUAACACGUGGGUGACCUGCCCUCAGCUCUGGGAUAAGCCUGGGAAACCGGGUCUAAUACUGGAUAUGACUCCAUGACGCAUGUUGUGGGGUGGAAAGCCUUGUGCGGCUGAGGAUGGGCCCGCGGCCUAUCAGCUUGUUGGUGGGGUGAUGGCCUACCAAGGCGACGACGGGUAGCCGGCCUGAGAGGGCGACCGGCCACACUGGGACUGAGACACGGCCCAGACUCCUACGGGAGGCAGCAGUGGGGAAUUUUUGUCAAUGGGGGAAACCCUGAACAAGCAACGCCGCGUGGAGGACGACGACC
rnacentral:rRNA from 1 species